rnacentral:rRNA from 1 species
AUUGAACGCUGGCGGCAUGCCUUACACAUGCAAGUCGAACGGCAGCGGGGACUUCGGUCCGCCGGCGAGUGGCGAACGGGUGAGUAAUGUAUCGGAACGUACCAUUCAGUGGGGGAUAACUAUCCGAAAGGAUAGCUAAUACCGCAUAUUCUGUGAGCAGGAAAGCAGGGGAUCGCAAGACCUUGCGCUGAUUGAGCGGCCGAUAUCAGAUUAGCUAGUUGGUGAGGUAAAGGCUCACCAAGGCGACGAUCUGUAGCGGGUCUGAGAGGAUGACCCGCCACACGGGAACUGGGACAAGGACCCGCAUCCUACGGCAGGCAGCAGUGGGGAAUUGUCGACAAUGGGGGCAACCCUGAUCCAGCCAUGCCGCGUGAGUGAAGAAGGCCUUCGGGUUGUAAAGCUCUUUCGGCCGGGAAAAAAUCGCAUGGGUUAAUACCCUGUGUGGAUGAUGGUACCGGAAUAAGAAGCACCGGCUAACUACGUGCCAGCAGCCGCCGUAA